rnacentral:rRNA from 1 species
AUUGAACGCUGGCGGCAGGCCUAACACAUGCAAGUAGAACGAGAGGCGGACGGGUGAGUAAGGUCUGGGAAACUGCCUGAUGGAGGGGGAUAAGUGCUGGAAACGGUAGCUAAUACCGCAUAACAUGGGAUGUGGCCAGAUGGGAUGAGCUAGUAGGUGGGGUAACGGCUCACCUAGGCGACGCUCCCUAGCUGGUCUGAGAGGAUGAUCAGUCACACUGGAACCUAGACACGUUCCAGACUCCUACGGGAGGCAGCAGUGGGGAAUAUUGGACAAGGAGCGAAAGCCUGAUCCAGCCAUGCCGCGUGUGUGAAGACGGUCUUCGGAUUGUAAAGUACUUUAAGUUGGGAGGCGUUACCAACAGAAUAAGCACCGGCUAACUUCGUGCCAGCAGCCGCGGUAAUAC